UGGGGAAUAUUGGACAAUGGGCGCAAGCCUGAUCCAGCCAUGCCGCGUGAGUGAUGAAGGCCCUAGGGUUGUAAAGCUCUUUUGUGCGGGAAGAUAAUGACUGUACCGCAAGAAUAAGCCCCGGCUAACUUCGUGCCAGCAGCCGCGGUAAUACGAAGGGGGCUAGCGUUGCUCGGAAUCACUGGGCGUAAAGGGUGCGUAGGCGGGUCUUUAAGUCAGGGGUGAAAUCCUGGAGCUCAACUCCAGAACUGCCUUUGAUACUUUUAUUCUUGAGUCCGGGAGAGAGAGACGGAAUUCCAGGUGUAGUGGUGAAAUACGUAGAUAUCUGGAAGAACACCAGUAGCGAAGGCGGUCUCUUGGUCCGAUACUGACGCUGAGGCGCGAAAGCGUGGGGAGCAAACA
rnacentral:rRNA from 1 species